UGCAAUGAGGAGACAGAUGGACUUGUUGCAGUUUGAAGCCCCGGUGUUUCUAAUUUCCUACAGAAAAGGAGAAAAUUGAUGUCCAUGCUUGAUGGGGAAAUAGAUUUGUGUUCUGGAGUCAAUGUGUUCUUCACCAACAGGUGCUCCAGACACACCAUCCAAAUCAAGGAAGACAAAGGCAGGGACUGGGAGGAUGUAUAAGAAGAUCAAGCUCAAGAUCACCUGAGAAACAUAAAGAUGCACAAGUCCAUGGGACAGGGUGAGAUGCAUCCACAGAUCCUGAGACAACUGGUGAAUGAAAUGGCUAAGCCUCUUUCCAUCCUAUUUGAGAAGUUGUGGCAGGCCAGUGAAGUUCCCACUGACUGAAAGAGGGGACACAUAACCCCCAUUUUUAAAAAGGGAAAUAAGGAAGACACAGGGAAUUUCAGGCCAGUCAGUGUCAUCUCUGUUCCCACCAAGAUCAUGGAGCAGAUCCCCUUGGGAACCAUGCUAAGGUACAUGGAAAACAAGGAGGUGGUUUCUGACAGCCCUUCAACUAAGAGCAAAUUUUGCCUGACAAAUCUGUUUGCCUUCUGUGACAGGGUUACAGUGUUGGUGGAUAAGGGAACAGCAACUCCUGUCAUCUGCCUGGACAUGCACAAAGCAUUUAACGCUGCCUCAUAUAACAUUUUUGUUUCUAAACUAGGGAGACAAGGAUUUGAUGGAUGGACCACUUGGUGGAUAAGGAAUCAGAUGGAUGGUCCCACUCCAAGAGUUGCAGUUAACAGCUUGGUGACCUUUUUCCAAAGAAAUUCCAAACAGAGUUGAUUGGCCAAAUACAGGAAUAAUUGGCUGAAAACAUCUGGAAUGCCACCUUGAGGGACUCUAAUGGCCUCUAAAAUAAAUACAAUAUAUGUUUUAAUCCCUGUAGUAUUCUCAGACCUGGUUCCCACCAAAAAAAAUAAGGAAAA